UGACUCUGAGGGCAGUCAUUCAACCUGCUGAACUCAAACCAAAAGACUUGACGAUAGUGCUAACCCUUUCAGCAAAAGUUCUGGAUGUUAUCUUCUUGCCAGGAACAUGAAAUGGAUUUGAUACAGCAUCAACAUAUGCGGCAUGAAAUUUCCUGAAAAACUGUAAAUAAUUUCCACCAAAAAGCUUAAGCAAGCUGCUAUGCUAAAGGCUGAAUAUCACAUACAUCACAGCAUCAACAUAUGCAGCAUGAAAUUUUCUGAAAAACUGUAAAUAAUUUCCACUAAAAAGAUUAAGCAAGCUGUUAUGCUAAAGGCUGAAUAUCAUAUAUCACACCAAAGAACAUCUGAAACUUAAUGUGCUUCAUCAGUGUUUCUUCAACAUAAAGCCAUUGCUAUCGUUCAAACAAAGUAUUCCCAAUUUCCCUCAUCCCAAUUUUCAUGUAGACGUACUAUUUAACCAAAUUGCAGGAUAUAUCUUGUUUGCAGUUUUCAUUCAUGAUGAUAACAGUGCUUUUGUGUUUUACAUUGGGAGACUGGAUAGCCAUUCUUUUCGUGGCAUAAAAUACAUUGAUGUCUAACGAGGGACCACCUUACUGUGGAAGACUGACCCUUGGGCAAAAUACAAACUGGUAUUGCUAUUUCUGCAACCUAUCACGCUAGCAACCUGGGACACUAGAAUGUCUUAGCAGUUCAGAUAUGAGUAAACUUUAGUUCUACAUUUUUCUACGUAACUUUUUCCUAAGUGUACUUAUUUGUACAGAUGUGAUAACAAUAAUAUUCUAUCAUUGCUUCACCGUGUUAAACAUAGGAGCUAUGUCUUCACCCUUUACAUGAAAGUUUUCCAAUUUGAGGAAAUAGCUAAUGUUUAUAUUGCCCUUAAAAAAUAGAAAUAGCUAAUGUCUAGAUGAAGAU
rnacentral:lncRNA from 1 species